AUUGAACGCUGGCGGCAGGCUUAACACAUGCAAGUCGAGCGGUAACAGAGAGAAGCUUGCUUCUCUGCUGACGAGCGGCGGACGGGUGAGUAAUGCCUAGGAAUCUGCCUAGUAGUGGGGGAUAACUUGCCGAAAGGUAAGCUACUACCGCAUACGUCCUACGGGAGAAAGGAGGGGACCUUCGGGCCUUUCGCUAUUAGAUGAGCCUAGGUCGGAUUAGUUAGUUGGUGAGGUAAUGGCUCACCAAGACCGCGAUCCGUAACUGGUCUGAGAGGAUGAUCAGUCACACUGGAACUGAGACACGGUCCAGACUCCUACGGGAGGCAGCAGUGGGGAAUAUUGGACAAUGGGGGGAACCCUGAUCCAGCCAUGCCGCGUGUGUGAAGAAGGUCUUAGGAUUGUAAAGCACUUUAAGUUGGGAGGAAGAGCAGUUAACUAAUAUUUGACUGUUUUGACGUUACCGACAGAAUAAGCACCGGCUAACAUCGUGCCAGCCGCCGCCGGUAA
rnacentral:rRNA from 1 species